rnacentral:rRNA from 1 species
UCCUACGGGGGGCAGCAGUGGGGAAUAUUGGGCAAUGGGCGCAAGCCCGACCCAGCAACGCCGCGUGAAGGAAGAAGGCUUUCGGGUUGUAAACUUCUUUUGACAGGGAAGAGCAGAAGACGGUACCUGUCGAAUAAGCCACGGCUAACUACGUGCCAGCAGCCGCGGUAAUACGUAGGUGGCAAGCGUUGUCCGGAUUUACUGGGUGUAAAGGGCGUGUAGCCGGGCUUACAAGUCAGAUGUGAAAUCCGGGGGCUCAACCCCCGAACUGCAUUUGAAACUGUAGGUCUUGAGUAUCGGAGAGG